UCGUGGAGAAACAACAAUCGCCGGUAACCUUGAAAGUUUAUGUUCAAGGAAGAUGUUGGUUAAUUUCUUUGAGAUGGAGUGGUACAAAUGGUUCUAUUUUUUUUGCAUACUGGAUUUGUUCCCCUAUGGCUGUCUGCAUCAUCGUUUUAUCCGUGCAUGUGCCUGGAGGAGAUCAUCCUUUCAUCCGUGCAUGUGCUUGGAGGAGAUCCAGGAAUGUCCGGCAUGAGAAAGCUCAAAGCCGAGUCCUCCACCCAGGCCCUCCUUUGCAAGGUCGGCGAGGACACUGCUCUGUACAUGUGCUCCUCUCCCACCCCUCCACUGAUUUAAUGUGAAAUCUAAUUGGGAGGUAUUGAUAAGCACCAAUGUAUCCUUGGUUUAAUUAGUUCCCAUGUCUUGAGUUACUUUGAUCCUCUUGGUAAGAUCAAACCGAUGAAUACCUUUCAGGUCUCUCCGAUACGAAGUAAGCGAUACAAAUGCAAGGAUUGCACAUAAGUAAUUGGAUUUGACCCCAGUUAAUUUAUUGCCUGUUUAACAAUGCAGAAAGAAGAGUUGCUACACCGGAACCUAGGCCAUGCAGUGAUUCAUAUUUUGGUUGCGCGGCUGUUUCUAUGCUGUUCAUCCGAGGUAAAUUUUAAAAUGAUGCAUUGCUUCACCCUGCUAUAUCCCGACGCUCUCAUAGUUUAAUCUAUCCGUGUAUACACAUCUUUCUUGGUGAUUGUAUUUUUCAUGUUGCCUGUCGAUGGAUCUCGCAACCUAACACGCAGAGCUAGAUAAAUUGUAGUUAUUGUUGUAUAACGAUUGGUUUUGGUAAAAUUUCAUGCGUUAUAUGUUUUUGUGGGUUUUGAUAAAACCACUUCUGAUCUUCAGAGAUAUAUGUUUGGUACUUGCUCUACACAUAUAUGCCUGGCGCUCCAGCUCGUGCAUUCAUUUGAUCUGACAUGACGUACAUGUACAGAGCAACUUUGUAUAGUGUUGUUAGCUGGUGGUCUAUAUAAUUUAAGGUAAUGUAUGUGACUUAAGAUGAUGCAUUCAUGAAUUAAGCAUGGAUCUUAGAUUGCGCUGGGACUGCUUCCGAGGAUGCAGGUUUCCGAUCGUAAUAUAGACCUUUCAAAACAUUAUGUGUCAUGCCUGCACAGUACUUGAAACAUAAUUACACUGCAUAUAUUUAGCAAAUUUGCAUACUACUAUUGUUUAAGUAAAAAAAUGUGAACUUCAAAUUAUAUAGUGGCUUCAGAUUAUUUUCUCAAAAACCAAGAGAUCUUUUGGGGUUUGCAGUAGUCUGGUUUACAAGAGAUAGCCACAUGUCUUUAUAAAUUUAAAUUGUGAGCAAAACAUAGUGGAACAGAACUGAAGCUAUUUCCUUCAGUAUCGUCUAUGUCUACUUGACGUUUCCAUAGAAGCUAAUGUAACUAUCCCGCAACCUGAAAAUACCGUAUGAUGUCCAGAGAAGAUUUCUGCUUACAUGUGAAUGGUUCUACUGCUGUUCUAAGUGAUUUCUUGAAGUUCUUCCUAUUUUCCCAUAUCAUCUGCAAGCUGACCAAAUUAAUCCUUAUUUGUUUGCCAGGUUUGUCAAACAUCGCUUCAUGUUGUAGUGCAUUUUUUCCUUUCAAAAUCCAUUUUAUGCCAUUUGGAUUUAUAACUGUCAGUUUAUUAUUUGUGGAGAACAGGAGAUAAGGAAAAGGGGAGGGGAAAAACAGUAAUUCUAGCAACUGGCGUUUGUUCCGUACCAAAGCUCGGGAGUUCAUUCUAUUGUGUGCAUCAGAAGUCUAUACAUAUGAGUUGGCACUCGGAGAGUGACAUAGAUUUUCUUGAGGUUAUGAUUUUUUUAUCUACUAUUACUUGAAUCUUUCUUACCUGAGUUUUUUUUCUUGGAGUUCUUCCUGUUUCCCAUAUCACCUGCUCUAUAUAAGCUGCUCCAUAAAAUUAAGUACGCGCAUCCUCCUUUAUUGGCCAAGUUUGUUCUAUUAUACUAAUCUGAAGUCUGUACAAAGGACUUGGGACGGAGUGAAGCAGAUUUGCUUGAAGUUUUGAAUUAUUUACCAAAGUAGGGUUUGCAUAUUAUACUAUCCUAGAUUACAUGGCUAAGCAACUCAAUUAUACUGGUAAUACUUUGAAAUGGUUGUCUGUUCUGCCGGAGUACUCAUAUGCCAUAUUAAUUUCUGAGGAACAAUUUAU
rnacentral:lncRNA from 1 species